UUUCUAUUUUCUGUUGUCCAGUUUGGGUGAAUCUGUGUGAAUUGUAACUUCAGCUUCCUGUUGUUAGCUGACAGAAGUGGCACCCGCUGUAAUCAUCUGCUG